GGGGGUGAACGGUUUCGACUUUGGACGUUGAGUCAAGAGAAGCGUGCCGGUGCAGGCGAGAGACCACCGUAAGCGUCAUCGCACUAAAAUAAGCGCCAAGACGAAUAGUCGCGCUGACUACGCCCUCGCCGCCUGAGCGAGCGCGUGUCUGUCGGCCCGGGGGCGCCUCCGCCCCGGUAGCCGGCAUCAGCUAGGAGGCUCACCUACCGGACCCGGCCGCGGGGUCCGGAUGGGAAAACCACAGCGGCUGGGCCCGCCACAUCGGCUUGUUCGCGUGACCGAUGGGGCCGAGUAGAGGCAUAGCGAACUGCGCACGGAGAAGUCUUGGUGAGGCGCCAGAGGACCCGGGUUCAAUUCCCGGCACCUCCACCC
rnacentral:tmRNA from 1 species